rnacentral:rRNA from 1 species
GACGAACGCUGGCGGCGCGCCUAACACAUGCAAGUCGAGCGAUGAAAUUUUAACCGAUCUCUUCGGAGAGAAGAUAAAAUGGAUUAGCGGCGGACGGGUGAGUAACACGUGAGAAACCUGCCUUUCACAAGGGGAUAGCCUCGGGAAACCGGGAUUAAUACCCUAUGACACAUUUCCUUCGCAUGGAAGAAAUGUUAAAACUCCGGUGGUGAAAGAUGGUCUCGCGCCUGAUUAGCUAGUUGGUGGGGUAACGGCCCACCAAGGCCAUGAUCAGUAACCGGCAUGAGAAGGUGAACGAUCACAAUGGAACUGAGACACGGUCCAAACUCCUACGGGAGGCAGCAGUGGGGAAUAUUGCACAAUGGAGGAAACUCUGAUGCAGCGACGCCGCGUGAGAGAUGAAGGCUUUCGAGUCGUAAAGCUCUGUCCUAUGGGAAGAUAAUGACGGUACCAGAGGAGGAAGCCCCGGCUAACUACGUG